rnacentral:rRNA from 1 species
AUGUAUUCACUUAACAUUGAUGAUGGUGAUGGCAGCUUGCAGUUGUCUGUUACUCAGUCUCAAAGUGUUGAUGGCCCUGAGCCUGUUACCCAAGCUGAGGAUGUUCCUAUGCACAAAGCUGAUGCGGAUAGUGUUGCUGUGAAAAUUGGUCCAAGCAAACUUGCUGGCUCCUCUGUUCGUCGGAGUCCACGAGGUUUGACAAAUAAGAAGCCUUCUUCGUCUCCUCUUCAAGAGCGGUCUUUGUUGAAAGAAAAUAAGAAGCGUAAAGUUCAUCCUGCAAAGGUGAACAAAGGUGUGAAGAAGCGUGCUCGUGUCGAAGCUGAAGAUGCUGCAUCUGAAGAAGAUGAUAUUGCAGUUGAUUCAGAAGAUGAAUUUGUAGUGCCUGUUAGCGUUAUGAGUUCGGUCAAGCCGGUGGGAGGCAAUGCCGGAAAAGUUGCCUUGGAUGAAGAUUGUGAUACAAUGACUCUUGACAUGGGUGAGGCUAAUAAGAAGCUUCGCAUCACUAGCGAUGGUAUACAACAAUUAUUUGGUUUCCCUCGUGGUGGUCGUUCUGCACCAAGGCCGUCAAAGGACGGAUAUGAUAACGCUCUGAUGAAGUUAAGAUGGGAGCUUGACAUUAGCAGGAACAAAGAUAUCAAGACAAAGGAUUUGAGGAAUAAGCUCAAGGUGCUCGUCAAGGAUCCUAGCAAAGAUGACCUUGCUCUGAAAGUGUUCUUCAUUAUUGUGUUUAUGAAGGUUGUGUUGCCUGGUUCUGCCCCGCGUGUUUCCAGAGAGGCAGCAAUGUUUGAGGGUCUCGUCUUUGAGGACAUGGCUAAUAUGGAUUAUUGCCAGCUGAUGGUUGACGAGCUUAGAAGGGCUGUUGCCAAGUACCAAAAUGGCGAUACCAUGGGGAAGGCAAUCACAGGCUGUGCCAUAGGGCCUAUACUAAUGUACCUUGACUGCCUUAUCAGUGGCAAGACUGCGGAGCCUGACAUGUGA